GUCUUCGUGGUGUAGUGGUCAGCAUGUUUGAUGUGUAAGCGAGAGGUCCGUGGUUCGAUUCCUGGUGAGGGCA
rnacentral:tRNA from 1 species